CUGAAAAAAGCGAGGAAACCUUCCCACCCAUCUUAAAGUCUCGUUCCUGAUUGAUUGUGGGGGUUUCUGUCCCCCGGAAGCCAGCUUUUCGGGGCUCCGGGGCUCGCCUGCUCUUCCAAAGAGAAAAAGGACAAAAGGCCGGCGUCCAUGUUGGCAUCAUGACGCAGCAUCUCUCUCCCGCCUGCAGCCUGGCGCUGCUUGUCCUCCGGGCCGCGCUCGCUCCUCCCUCUCAAACACGAGUUUUAUUUUCAGGUUUUUGAGCCGAGCCGAGGGCUGGGUCGGGUUGGAGCCAAGGCUGAAGCCGCCGGGCCAUUCAAUACUGCUCUCUGGCUAAUGGCGGCCGGCUUUCCUCCUUCCUUCCGCCAUCCUGCUUUUCCCUGGUUGUCGCUGGGAGCCGAGAGGCAGCCCCGGGCCCUAACAGCCUGCCAGGCACGGCGCCCGCGAUCCUGGUGACGGGUCUCGGGGGGCCUUAGGCCCCGGGGGGCGUCGCGCACCCUAAUUCUCCGCACUCGAUCCCCCCGAGCCCCUCCCCCCAGGCGCGGUUCGGGCAGUGGCGGCCGCGGGGGGAGCCGAGGCCGGGUAGGGCGAGCCCCUGGAGGCGGGUGAGGGACCCCGAUCUCCGUGGCAGCCCCGGCCUCCCAAGGCCCACACGGGCACGAGGCCUCGCUCUGGCUUGCACUGCCUGCCGUUCUGCCUCGGAACAGGAGCCAGUAGUUAGCCAAGGGCUAAGAGGCUGCUCCAGCCUCCCUUCACUGCCACUUGGCUUCGGGAGACCCACCCCUGCCUCCCCCAGACGUCCUUUGGUAGUCGAGCCGGAGGGGCGGGUCUCCCCUUUUGUCCCCACUUGGGGUUAGAGGCCUUCGCAGUGGCUUCACUUGGACGCCAGGGGCCCAGCCUCCAACCCAGCUCUCUGUGGGUUGGAGGUGUGUUUUGGAAGGGGGUGGGCUGGGGCUUGGGAAAGCCGAUUGGGGCCUCCCCUUCGGGAUCCCCCCCAGCCCCCCGCCGCGAUAGUGCCCGAGGGUAAAGCCUUAGAUCCUGGCCUUCCUGGGGGAGGGGAUGUGGACAGGGCGGGUCUUUGGAAAUGCAGAUGAGUCGUCUCCCGCUGCUGGUCUCCUGGGUUGAACUUUAGUGACUCAGCCACCCUCACCCCACCCCCACCCAUUCCACAGUGAGGGCCGCCUUGUCAGCUGGGAAAGGGGGGGGGGGGACACAGCAUUUCUGUGACUCCCUUUCUAUCUAGUAGACCCUGUUGGUAUUGCAUUUGGCCAAUCCAUUCUCUCUGAACCUACAAACUGUGGAAUUGCCCUAACAGAACGUCCGAAUUUACAGGUCUUGGCCGGAGACCGGAGCCAUGUCUGUGUUAUCCCCACUGUAGACAAUCCUUGCUUCCUCUGGACAUCUGGAGCAGGCCCAAUUUGACUGAGAGCCUUCCCCCACUAAGGUAGGUAAGAGCCCUUUCCCCAAGUUCAGAGAACUGUUGCCGGGCUUUGACCUGCAGCCUUCGAAGGGCGGCUUGGGAUCCCCAAACCUGCUGGGCUGGUUCUGCAGCCCCUCCCCCACGCUGAUGUGGCGGUUGUGUGUGUGAAAUGGGCGGCCUGCUGGGUCCAUCCAGCCCCGCCUGUCAGCUUCUGCUGUGGGGCGUUUAGGGCGGGCGAUUCUCAUGCCGAAUUUAGCAGCUUACUAGAGCAAGGACUACCAAGUAUUUCCCAGUGGUGUGGUUUAUGGUGGCUGGGAGGGCCCUGGAAACUUCUGAAGACGGUGACUGCUGCCAGGUUUCCCAGUGGUGCUUCAGACAUUGUUCCUGAACCCCAUUAGGGGGACCAGCUGAGCCCCCUUCUGAUGUCUGCCUUGCUGGAUAGACAAAGAAGCAAAAGAUGUGAAGUGGUAGCCAGCUUCCCGAGAGAAAAGAUUUCCUUGGCUUCUCCUUUUCCUGGAUCCGAGCUCUCAACAAGGCCAGGUGUCGGUAGCCUGGCUUCUAGAACGUGACACAAACGGAGGCUGGCCCUUCACCUGUCUGUAGUGAUCUUACAGAGUCAAUGAGGUCUGUGCUUAGUCUCUGAGCAGGGUCUCCCCAGCUGCACCGGCAUCAGAAGUCAGUGGUUGGACCCAUUAAACCCGACUGUGCCCAUUUCUCGAGUUUCCCUCUUAGGCAGUUACAUCUAAGAACUUGCUCUUCUUACAAGGUUCCAGGUAGCACCAAGUUUCUAGACUCUCUCUAGUAGGUGGCACCUGGGAUGUCACCCAGCUUGGUGGCUAGCAGUUGGCUUGCCCUCCUCCUAGGCAGGAAGCUUUGCUGCUGAAACUGGUGUGGCCCUUGAUCCCUGACCCCUGGCCCCCUAGUGUGUUUCUCGUUUUGUUACUUUGAUAAGCCAUUUGGCCUCAGGUGCCGCGGCUCCUGCUGGCUUCCCCUAUUUGGGCCUCAGCUUCCAGCCUCUAGUCUUCUCUUUUCUCCUCACCCCUACAGUGAGUGCUGACGUGUGAGUCGGGGAGCCUGGAAGGCUUCCCUGAGUUGUUGCUGGAGGCAGAUUGGUGCCUAAUCAGGGUGCUUCUAGUCUGGCAGCUGUAGGUUAGAUGUGGACCUAGCUAGUGACCUUGGACCAUUGCCUCUCUUCCCCCUCCCCGGGUUAAAAAGACCACAAUACCUGCUGGAAAAGGUUGGUGGGAGGAUUAAGUGAGAUUAAGAGGGCCAGACUCCUGCUCUGACCUCACAACCAGUUGGCCUCCAUUGUGAUAAGGAUUGUUGCUGGGAGUGGUUGCUGCCUGCGCCGGUGGGGGCUGGGCUGUCUCCAGGGCUCCUCCCCGCCAGCCCACUUCCUGAAGCACGUGCUGGAGCCUCCAGGCAAAGGAGAAAGAAAACUGGCUUUGCUUGGGAAGGCAGCCAGCCCUGUUUUUCUUCUAGUGUUUGAGUCCAGGCUGUUCCCGGGGCUCCGUAGGCUGUCCUGUGGUUGGGUCGGGAUUUAAGGGCCACCCACCAAUAGCCCCAAGAGAAGAAAUGUCUCACCCAAGGUUAUGAGGCCACCACGGAGCAGAGCCUGGACAGGGUUCCAGGUGUCUUGAUUUUCAGCCCAGAACCUGGGCCCGUGACACCCCCUUGCCCAGCUGUCUGGGUUAUUUUAGGCUCCCUCCCGUGCCAGCUGUCUGCCUUUAUCACUGCCAGAGAGAGCUGUCUGGUAUAGCAAGGCUCCACAAUGGUCCCGUGGCUCCCGCUGGUGCAGAGGGCCAGGCAUCAAGUCCGUCGAUGAGCUGGCUUUCUGCUGGGAAGGCUGAACUCCUCACCCCUAUUGAGAAGGGGGGCGGGGAGAAGAGCGCUUUGCUAGGUUGGUCUCGUUCAUACUUUAGAUACCUGGUAAGCCUUGGAACACAACUGAUCAACCCUAAAGGCUCUGGUUAGAGUCCUUGGAUCUGGCUGGGGUCUUUAUCUCCUCCAGCCUCCCACUAAUUGAUUUAAGUCGCGCUGUGUCAGCUGUACCCUGGAGGGCUACAGGCUUUAGGGAGCAAUUAGGCGCUAAGCUGUGACGUGGUGCUUGAAAGGGGAAGAUGGAAGUGACCGGGACCAACUUGUGGCUUGCUCUCUACUUCAGGUCUUUUCCACCUCUCUCUCUCUCUCUCCUUUCUUUGGCCCCUUAUCACCUCCUGGGCUGUAGGGUGGGGCAGUUUGUCCUGCUGUUGUUCCUGGCCCCGAGGGGUGCCCCGCCUCCUGGUCACCCACGGAGCGUGGGGCGGAGCCGCUCUGGCCUGCAGAGAGAGGGCCACGCCAGCAGAAGGCUUGCCUGAACUGGGAGGUGGCUGUACUCGAUUUACUACACGAGAUUCCAGUGUCCCCGCCCCUUCCGGCUCCUCCACCUGGCCCCGAGCCCAAGUUUGGAAUAUGACCUUUUUAGACUCUCUGCAACCGAGGUGGGUCGGAGGACCCGCCAUCCCCGCUCUCCACGGCCCCCAGUGUUUUCUCGGAUUGUUCCGUGCCAAUGGGAACCAGGAGGGAAAGUUGAACAAAAACCUUCAGAGCUAUUAAAUUGUCGCGUGAUGGAGGAGGGUCUUGCUGUGUCCGGGCUAGUCCUAGUGACAGGUUAGGACCCUAGGUAUAUCCCUUUGUACCAACGUUCGCUGGUUUUCCGCCUGGCUUCCAGAAAUCACUAAGCCCAUCCUCUGCUUGUUCCCUGGAGCUGUUAAGUAGCUGAGACUUGGAGCGGUCAGGCUGCCUAACCAGGUAGAUAAGAUAGCCUGGCUUCACCCCUCUGCUAGAGUCUUUAUCUCCCCCCUCUUAUCCGUUCCAUCUGCAUUUGGAUAGCUCAAUAAUUGAUUUAUGGGGCCUCUGAAUAGGGGAGUGGUGGCCUUAGCCUCCCCCACCCAAAUUUGUACUUUGUCCUUAAAGGCUGCAGUCUGUUCUCCUCUGCCCCCCUGGAUCUGAGCUUUAGUCUCUGCAGUGACCACCUGACAGCUCCCUGAGGGGGGUUUGAGGCAAGAACCCACAGAAGCAAUUUCUUGCUUUCCUCUGCUCUCUAGGAAUUCCUGGACAAUGGAGAGUGCCCCAGGCCCCCUGAACAUCUUGCUGAUGAGGGAGUAAAGCCACCCUGGUUACAGAUCCAGCCCCACCAUCACCACCAGAGUUGAGUCCAAAUCCAACACUCUAGGCCGGGUAGUGCUGGGACUUUGCCAGCCUCCUGCUGAGGUAGGGCUGGGUGAGUAGGCAGGCUGGAACGGGUGGGGUGGCCGUGUGCUGUCUGAACCCUCCCCAGAGCUGGUCGCUUUUGGUCAUUUCCUCCCUGCAGACUUGCUCUUCCUCCACACAGGUCUGGGGGAGUUUGUGGGAAGCCAGGAGCCCUCUCUUGGUUAUAUGUAGUAGAACAAGUUUUUUUUCUUAGAAGUGAAUUCUCCCCUUGGCAAACUGCAGCCAGCCAGCCUCCUGGGUCGAGAGCCAAGCCAAAAGAUGUCUGAGAGAAGAAACCUGGGGUCCUGCAAAGGUAAGUGGGUCCCAGCCCACUCUCAAUCCCCCUCUCUCUGUGUGAUUGCUAUUCCACACUGGAGUCACCUGCUCUGUGCUUCUGAGGAACCUCACCUCUGGCACAUCAAUGGAAAUUGUCCUUCCCUUUUUAUUUAUUUUUAUUUAUUUUUUAUUUUUUGCCACCCUCACUGGCCACUAAGAGAUAGCCCUAGCUCCUCCUCUCCUGCCUGGUUUUGACAGGACUCACUCCAUUGAGUCCUGUCUCGUCUCUUUGCAGCCCUCCUCCUCCCCCCCCCCCCCCUUCAGCCAGCACUUAGGCCCUCCCUGAUUUAGCCCGUUACCUUGACAACCACUUGGGCCUGUCUCCCUCAUCACCACUGAAAACCUGAAGGUGGUUUUCCAGCUGCGGUACAUUUGCCCAAGUUGGGCACCCCUCCAGCUUCUAUUGGCUCGCCCUCUAUACAGCUGUACCCAAUAUAACAAACACAACCUUCCUGGCCCCUCAGCUGUAGUCUCGAAAUUGAUCUCACUGGUCCCGGGAACUCCGUCAAUACUGCCUCCUCUAGACUGAGCUCCUCACAGGCAGGAACAUGGUUGUUUCUCAAUAAACAAGUUGCAAAAAA
rnacentral:lncRNA from 1 species